UGGGGAAUAUUGGACAAUGGGCGAAAGCCUGAUCCAGCCAUGCCGCGUGUGUGAAGAAGGUCUUCGGAUUGUAAAGCACUUUAAGUUGGGAGGAAGGGCAGUAAGCGAAUACCUUGCUGUUUUGACGUUACCGACAGAAUAAGCACCGACUAACUCUGUGCCAGCAGCCGCGGUAAUACAGAGGGUGCAAGCGUUAAUCGGAAUUACUGGGCGUAAGCGCGCGUAGGUGGUUCGUUAAGUUGAAUGUGAAAGCCCCGGGCUCAACCUGGGAACUGCAUCGAAAACUGGCUAGCUAGAGUAGGGCAGAGGGUGGUGGAAUUUCCUGUGUAGCGGUGAAAUGCGUAGAUAUAGGAAGGAACACCAGUGGCGAAGGCGACCACCUGAGCUCAUACUGACACUGAGGUGCGAAAGCGUGGGGAGCAAACAGG
rnacentral:rRNA from 1 species